UGCCUUGUACAGAAUAAUGGCUAAGUUGUAUUCAUCUCAAGUGGAUCACAAGUUUAGUUAUCAAUAUAAAAAAAAUUUAGUCAAUCGAAGAAGAAGAAAAAAAUUUU